rnacentral:rRNA from 1 species
UCUAGCCUCUGUCUUGGGGAUAGCCCAUAGAAAUGUGGAUUAAUACCCAAUAGUAUUAUAGAGUGGCAUCACUUAGUAAUUAAAGAUUUAUUGGACAGAGAUGAGCGUGCGUCCCAUUAGCUAGUGGUGCCGGUAACGGCGUACCAAAGGCGACGAUGGGUAGCUGGUGUGAGAGCACGACCAGCCACACGGGCACUGAGACACGGGCCCGACUCCUACGGGAGGCAGCAGUGAGGAAUAUUGGUCAAUGGGCGGAAGCCUGAACCAGCCAUGCCGCGUGAAGGAUGAAGGCGUUCCGCGUUGUAAACUUCUUUUAUUUGGGAAGAAAAUUGUGGUUUCUACUGCAACCGACGGUACCAGAUGAAUAAGCACCGGCUAACUCCGUG